GAUGAACGCUAGCGGCAGGCCUAACACAUGCAAGUCGAGGGGCAGCACGUCUUCGGAUGGUGGCGACCGGCGCACGGGUGCGUAACGCGUAUGCAACCUACCUCUUACAGUGGGAUAGCCCAGAGAAAUUUGGAUUAAUACCGCAUAGUAUACAGAUUCAGCAUUGGGACUGUAUUAAACAUUUAUGGGUAAGAGAUGGGCAUGCGUUCUAUUAGUUAGUUGGAGUGGUAACGGCACCCAACGACAGCGAUAGAUAGGGCCUGAGAGGGGAUCCCCCACACUGGUACUGAGACACGGACCAGACUCCUACGGAGGCAGCAGUGAGGAAUAUGGACAAUGGCGAGAGCCUGAUCCAGCCAUGCCGCGU
rnacentral:rRNA from 1 species